rnacentral:rRNA from 1 species
UCUGACCGUGCUAAGGUAGCGUAAUCACCUGUCUUUUAAAUGAAGACCCGUAUGAAUGGUUUAACGAAGGCUUAGCUGUCUCCUCCCCCCAGUCAAUGAAAUUGACCUCCCCGUGCAGAGGCGGGGAUUUCUUCAUAAGACGAGAAGACCCUGCGGAGCUUUUAAAUACAUGUUAACGCCAAGUCAAGACCCCAGCAAAAUGAUGAACUUAAUGGCACUACACAAUAUUUUUGGUUGGGGCGACCCUGGGGAAAAUCUAACCCCCAUGUGGACUGAGGACAUAUUAAACUCCAUAUCCGUUACCUCAAAGCACAGAAAGACAUUUCUAAAACCCAGAAUUUCUGACCUACAGGAUCCGGCAAAGCCGAUCAACGAACCCAGUUACCCCAGGGAUAACAGCGCAAUCCAUCAUUUCAGAAGCCCCUAUCGACAAGAGGGUUUACGACCUCGAUGUUGGAUCAGGACAUCCUAAUG